rnacentral:rRNA from 1 species
UACGAGGGGGGCAAGCGUUGUUCGGAAUUAUUGGGCGUAAAGGGUGCGUAGGCGGUUUGAUAAGUUUGAUGUGAAAUCUCUGGGCUCAACCCAGAGUCUGCAUCGAAAACUGUCGGGCUUGAGUAUGGGAGAGGGUGAGUGGAAUUUCCGGUGUAGCGGUGAAAUGCGUAGAUAUCGGAAGGAACACCUGUGGCGAAGGCGGCCCACUGGAUCGGUACUGACGCUG